CUCUCGCGACCCACACACCCUAACCCUAACCCGACUGCGCCGCCGCGCCCGACAUGGGCGCCGCCGCGCCGCCGCCCCAACCCACCAACCGGUCCCCUUGCGCCACCACAUCUCGGACCGCGGCCUCCCUUCCCUUAGUCCGCAGUAGCAGCAGUGUCGUCUAGGACGGAGGAGCACUGUCCGCCGCCGAGGAGCAGCAGCGCGGUCCGCAAACAAGGAUCCGCUGCGCGCCGGGAACAUCAGCAUCAUACGCCGGAGGAUCCUCUGCACCGACUACUGUUGAGGAGGAGCCCGCUGUUCUUCUUCCUUCAGCGGCGACCCCUGUCACGGCCCCGCCUCCAGAUUUCAACAAGUAAGAUGCAGGAGGUUCCACGUCUAGGAAAUGGCAUUAUUGGUGUGGUGUUGUUCUGUUUUCUCAAUGAAUAUGAGUCGCUCGAUGGAUGGGAAUUGCUACUGUGUUUGUUAUUGCUUCCAUACUAGUUUUGUUCAGUUGGUCAAGGUGGUGCUCCCUCUGCAGUACAGAACAAUACCAGUGGAGAUGCGUGGAGUACGCUAUGCCAUCCUGUGACCACAACCAUUGGCUGCUACUGACGACGUGAGAUCACAAGUUUAAUGUUCGAGUAUUGAAUCAAGAAAUCUUCCGAAUCUGUUAACAUAGCCUCCACUUACUGUAUGCUCAAGUCUCUUUGUGGCAUAUCAGAUUUUAACUUCUGUUUUAGUCUGCUCAAGUGGAGAGGUCCGUGCAAUUCAGAAAUCAAAGUCACAAAAUCAGUACUGCUGAAGAUCUUGGCUAUGACCCGCGGAGAGAUGAAAUAUUUAUCAGAGCACAUAUCCGUAAAACUGGAGUUCCUACCGCACAAGCAGAGACACUAAUUGGACAAAUGAUAGAAAGUAGCAAGUCCACUUGUUGAUUGAAGAUGUCCUCGUGAUUGUUUUUGUUGAGAACAUGGAUGAAACAUUUUGUUCAUAUGGAGCUUGAUUUGGCUUGGCGAUUGAUGAGUUAGUCUUCCAUAAUAUUCUAUAGCAGAGCAGUGAUAAAGCACUUGAUCUCUUAGGAACUUUGCCAUUCUGUUUGUAACAUGCCUAUCGGAUAUCUGACUUGUGUAUUUCCUUAAUGGUUGUAGCUAACUUUUGUGAGGUUGUGAAGAAAACUAAUGAAUCUUGUGUGUGUGUAUUGAAUGAAUGCAUUAAUCAAUGA